rnacentral:rRNA from 1 species
UACGGGGGGGGGCAAGCGUUGUUCGGAAUUACUGGGCGUAAAGGGCUCGUAGGCGGCCAACUAAGUCGGACGUGAAAUCCCCCAGGCUCAACCUGGGAACUGCGUCUGAUACUGGAUGGCUUGAAUCCGGGAGAGGGAUGCAGAAUUCCAGGUGUAGCGGUGAAAUGCGUAGAUAUCUGGAGGAAUACCGGUGGCGAAGGCGGCAUCCUGGACCGGCAUUGACGCGUGAGGAGCGAAAGCCAGGGGAGCAAACGGGAUUAAGAAACCCCCGUGUACGUC